rnacentral:rRNA from 1 species
UACGGAGGGGGCUAGCGUUGUUCGGAAUUACUGGGCGUAAAGGGCGCGUAGGCGGCCUUCUAAGUCAGACGUGAAAUCCCCCGGCUUAACCUGGGAACUGCGUCUGAUACUGGAGGGCUUGAGUGCGGGAGAGGGAUGUGGAAUUCCAGGUGUAGCGGUGAAAUGCGUAGAUAUCUGGAGGAACACCGGUGGCGAAGGCGGCAUCCUGGACCGACACUGACGCUGAGGCGCGAAAGCUAGGGUAGCAAACGGG